AUUCCGUGUUUAUUUUCUUCAGUAAAGUUGUGAACUUAAACCAAACCUCUGCAUUGGCAAAAUAAGCACAUUUAUGCACCGUUUCUUCAUUGGUGGCUGGGCACCGCGGCUGCAUCCUCUUCUUCGUGGCAUGGCACAGUAUUUGCAGGUUCAUCAGUCAGGUGGUCAGCACCCAAACUAAAACCAUGAGUCAUGGUGGCCAGGAUGACGUCCAAGAAUAGCAUCCCAGCAGCACAGAUGGGGGAGCCAACAUGAAGAGGUGUCCAGAGAGGCUUCUUCCUCUUUGGCUUUGCAGCAGCACCAGGACCUCACCAUCAGUGAUGCUGUUCCCCUCAUCCAUCGGGCCUACCCUUACAUUCCUCCCCUGAUGCACUGAUCACCUCUACCAGUUGUUGGAGUUUUCAGAAGGGCUCUAAAUUAACUUUUUUUAUUCACUAGUAGCCAAAAUGGCUAGUAUGUUAAUCUCCAAACAUACCGGUACAUUAAAUAAUAAAAUCCAAUAUGUCAUGCCUAAAUGCUGUCGCUCCAGGCGCCUAGGUCAAUACAACGAGUACACAGCAUCCAGCAUCAAUGGGUUGACUAUUACAGGCCUAGUUCAGAUAACCAUUUAUUAAUAUAAAUAAGUACUUGCACGUCUAUUGUACAUGUCCACCCCACAAUAGAUAUCCCCUCCCAUCACCUACAAAACCUUGAAAUGUAUUUGUACUUUGUGUCUAAAAAUAAAGUAUUUGAGCCAUUGAAUGAACUGAUUACUACAUUGAGUUGGUGUGAUUAAGAGGUUGAAAUAGGCUAAAUUUGACUUGGUGUGCUGGACCUCUGGCUCUUCCAUACAUCCAAUGUGUCAUGACAUCAGAUCAUCGCUCUUCUCAUCUGGAGAAACAGAAAGAUAACACUUAGCUGACACUUAUCCAAAGCAACUUUGUUACUCACAGUGAAUUGUUAACUGUCCCUGCAGCAUGGGGCUUGGUGCCUAGCUCAUAGGCCUACUUCAGCCUGGAUGGGAGGUGAAGGGAGAGGUGUAGGAUGGGAUUUGAACCUGCAACCCUCCAAUCGUAAUACCACUUCCCAAACCAUUAAGCCUCUGAUGUGUGUGACUGAUUUCAGAGGGCAGACAAUUUGGAUGACAACACAACAAAGUGGUGGACUUCAUAUUAUUGACAACAACAUCGACACUGGUGGGCCUAUGCAUGUCAUUAUAAAUAGGCCAGCAUGGAUAAGGUGAUUGGCAUUUCAUGACAGCAUCAUGCUGGAGAGUAGGCCUACUACUUGGGAAAUCAGCGCUAGAGAUGUACACAUGGUUUAUUUUUACAUUUGAACCUUAACAGUAUGAACGUCAUAGCCUUGCUAUUUCACCAAGAGCUUUAUGAAUUCCGUGUUUAUGUUACAGCCUGCAAUAUCUUAGCAUACGUCCAUCAUAGCGUAAUGAUGCUGAUAAUUAACGUUAAUAUCAUGGAAAGCAUCUUACAUUGACCUCACAGAAAAAGCCACUGAAAUUGCACAUUAGACUUAAAUUAACUAGCGUUCACGAAUUAAGAGACAAAUGAUGAUACAAAGGAUGGCAAAUGAGAAACUUACCG